rnacentral:rRNA from 1 species
ACGGGCUUCGGUCUGGUGGCGAGUGGCGAACGGGUGAGUAAAGUAUCGGAACGUACCUUUCAGUGGGGGAUAACGUAGCGAAAGUUACGCUAAUACCGCAUAUUCUGUGAGCAGGAAAGCAGGGGAUCGCAAGACCUUGCGCUGAUUGAGCGGCCGAUAUCAGAUUAGCUAGUUGGUGGGGUAAAGGCCUACCAAGGCGACGAUCUGUAGCGGGUCUGAGAGGAUGAUCCGCCACACUGGAACUGAGACACGGUCCAGACUCCUACGGGAGGCAGCAGUGGGGAAUUUUGGACAAUGGGGGCAACCCUGAUCCAGCCAUGCCGCGUGAGUGAAGAAGGCCUUCGGGUUGUAAAGCUCUUUCGGCCGGGAAGAAAUCGCAUGGGCUAAUACCCUGUGUGGAUGACGGUACCGGAAUAAGAAGCACCGGCUAACUACGUGCCAGCAGCCGCGGUAAUACGUAGGGUGCGAGCGUUAAUCGGAAUUACUGGGCGUAAAGCGUGCGCAGGCGGUUUAGUAAGACAGGCGUGAAAUCCCCGGGGCUCAACCUGGGGAACUGCGCUUGUGACUGCUAAGCUAGAGUAC